AUGUUCCGUUUGUUUUCGCUUUUGCAAAACCUGAGCAUUAUGAUCUGCCUCCCACCACCACCACCCCCAUCCCGCUCCUUAAUGAGACUACAAAGGGCAUGGGCGGCGGGGGGCUGGGCCGCGGGGUUUGGGGGAGAAGCGCCACACCCCCCUGAGAAUAAAGCCCGCGCACUGCGCUCUCGGAGAAUCACGCACGAAUGCACGAAUCACACAAAGAAUAUAUUUCGCGACGAAACAGCGCCCUACAGGAAGAAAGUGCCCGCACGGGGAGCGCGAUCAGGAGCGCGACUUUUUGGCGCUCUUUGGGAGCAGCGAGAAGGGAGGCUGAGGACAGAGAGUCCCGGGGUGGGCACGGGAGCUGGGGCAGCAAGCGUCCGAAUUCCCGCGCGUUCCGCAGCGGCAAGCCGGGACUGGGAGCCGCGCGCCGAGCCAGGUGAGAGUGGUGGCAGCGGCUCUGCUGGGUGCGCCGCGCUACCUGGCCGUGCAGGGCGGGGUCGGGCGGCCAAGGGCGGCCGCGCGCCGCUUCCCAGCCCGGAGCGGCGGCUGCCAGCGCGAGGCUCCAGAGCCUGGCAGAGUUUCGCGGGAGUUGCCGUUUUGGCGCCCAAAGCCCCCUCGCCAGCGCCGAACGCUGGGCGCGCCCCGUGUGUCGGUCGCGGGUCACGGAGAGCCGCAGCCCCGGUGCCCGGGCCCACUCGGGCAGGGGUCAGGGGGCUCUCCGAGAGAACAUCUGGUAGAGGGCACGGGCCAGGGCGCAGGGCACGCCUUUGGCCAGGGCCGGGCGGAGUUUGGGCCGGGGUUGCCAUGGCAGCCGCUAGCCCGGGCAGGAGCCCCACGCCCGCCCGGCCGCAGCGAGGGAGCUGGGGCGCUAUGAGGUGUGCUCCAAAUGGACUGAACCAAGAGGAUGGGAGACGGGGGGAGGGCCGGUCCGGGGUCCCCGUCGCCUCCCCUAGCCCGCCGCGCUGUCCCGAGAUAGGACUCCAGUGGAGUCGAGAAAAGAAAAUAUUCUUUCCUGCCGGCUUGAAAGGAGGCUUGCAAAAGCCCCGGGGACGCGUGGGAAGAGGGGAGCGGAGGGAUUGUCGCCUCCGUCCCGGAGUCCGCGUGUACAUGUCUCUGGACUUGACAUUUUAUACCCCACAGCGGCCGACUUGGAGCCGGGUUGCCCGUCCCAGCCCUGAAGUUAUGUAG
rnacentral:lncRNA from 1 species